GCCCGGAUGGUCUAGUGGUAUGAUUCCUGCUUCGGGGUCUAUGUGGAAUACUCCUCUUAUUUACAUAAGAUUGAAAUGCAGGAGGUCUCGGGUUCGAAUCCCGAUUCGGGCC
rnacentral:tRNA from 1 species